CUUGCGAACUCUCCUCCUGCGAUUUUUUUUGUUGUGAGCCCGAACCAACAAAAAUGAACCAGGUCAUUUUCAUUUGACUUAGCUUAGGCAUUUUCGUUAGAGUCUCUCUCUUCUUCACACUUUCUCUCUCUUCUUCACAAAUUUUCCCCGCUUUUCGCAUAUCAAGUUCGUUCAUUAUUUGUUCUUGGAUCUUCGUUGUCGACUAUUUAUGAGCAACGGCAUUUUUUCAUUUUAUCAGUGUUGCAGUGUUUGGGAAGGCAAGACUAGAGCUUAUGGACUAAUAUUCAAGGAUUCAUCAGUCGGAAUCGUGCAAAGAGCUUUUAUAAGACUAAGGGUCUUGAAUGAGGUGAUUAUAUAAGUUGUUGCUCGGAAGUUUACAAAUUGCUAAUGUUGAGUAGAGUUUGGCCAGCUACCUAGCUUAUGCCUCAUUUUAUCGAAGUGGUGUCAUUCUCUUAAAAUUGGAUGAUCUGCUAAAUUUUGAUAGCUUGAAGAAUUGCCUUGAUGUUAGUGAAAUUCUAUUUACUUUAGAGUUUGUCUUAUUUACUUUUGAGUUGAUGGUAGUGACUUGGUUUGGUAUAUAAUUGUGUGCAUGGUGUUCAUGGUAGUGAGUGCGUGGGGAGUUGAUGUGUGGGUAAAAGCCGUGAGGAUGUCACGGGUUUUCUUUGUAGCCUUGGGUACUGUGUUAAUGGUGUGGCUAUAUGUGGUCAAGGAGCACGGGGCAAAGGGUGUGGUGCUGUGUGUUGGUUGUUGUUGUUUGGGUGGAUGACAGAGCUAGACUGGUGAUGUGGUACAGGGUAGUCAAUGCUAGAAACAAGUGCAGAGAGGCUAGCAUUUCUUCACUGUAAUGUGUACAUUGUACUACAUACAAAGACUUCUCCCUGGACCCUCACAAUUAUAAAAUGGGGCAUCGAUUUUUUGAUUUA